AGAAAGACCACGGCUUUCGCCCGUCUCCCAUCUUCAAGAUGGCGGAGGCAGCUUCAACCUCACCUCUCGCGAGGACUUCGCUCGUUGUCUCUGAUUAGCCGAAGCUUGGUGAAGACCGGCCUGUUGGAUCCGGAUGCCUAAAGGAACCGUGGGAAAGCUCUAGUUCCUGGUAACAAGUAAUUAAAAGGAAAAAAAAACGGGCGGCCGCGGAGAUGUAAUUUGUACAAACCCAGAAAACGAGGACAAACAUGCAUUCCUUCUCAGUUGAGAAAGCAGAAGCACUUGUGAAUGUUGUUACCGUCGUGUCGUGUACUGUGCUGAAAGUCGUGAGCUGCAGUGCUGUAGCGAGUUUUCAUGCUGGAGAGAGGUUUUACAUCCUUGCCCCUCUGUAGUGUUGAGUCUGGAGCGCCUUCUCCCUUGUAGACUAUUCUCUGUCCCCUCAAAUACUGCUUCCCCCAGGGACCCAUUUAGUGCCUUCCAUUUCUACAUACAUGGGCUUGCCUACCCAGUUAUCAGGUAUAUGGAUUAAUGUAUUAAGCAACUGCUUAAACCUGAAGCCCUGGUAUCACCGAGAUUUAAAAGAAACAAUGAGACUUAACUCGGCGGUUAAGAGCACUUGUUAAUCUUGCAGAGGACCCAGGUUCAAUUCCCAGCACCCCCAUGGCAGCUCACAAACAUUUUUAACUCCAGGGGAUUGGGUACCAGGCACACACGUCAUGAACAUACAUAUAUGCAGGCAAAAUAGACACCUGUGUAGGUCAGUGGACAACUUGUGGGAGUGAGUUCUGUCCUUCCAUUCUGGUUUAGGGGAUCAAACUCAGAUCAUCAGCCUUAAUGCUAAGUGUUUAACUAGCUGAGCAAUCUUGCUUGCUCCUAGGAAGUUUUCCCCUUACUCAAGACAAAGGUUAAUCUUAUGGAAUAAAAAGAAUACCUUUAAGUUUUUCUAUUAUCACCAUUCUUGUUCAAGUCCUCACAGUUAUCUACGAAACAGCAUUGUGUCAGUCCCAGUUUCCAACUUUCUCUCUGUCCCCCAUAGGAGCAUGGCUAGUUCCUUGCUUAAAAGACUUCAGGGGGUACCCCUAUACUAAAUAAGAUCCAAAUUACUUAUGAUGAUCUAGACAGCCUAGGAAACAGGUAUGCCUGUGUUUUACUGUCUUCCCCUGCUUGUCAAACUGUUCAGCAACUGCUUACAUAGGCUGUUUUCCUUGGCCUGGAUGCCUAUCCUCUGACCGUCCUGUCUAUCCUUAAGAUGUAUCUUAUGUGUUAUCUUCUGCCCAACUUUGCUUAAAGGCACAUACCUUUCUUGUCCCUGUGAAAUUCUGUACUUACCUCUGUAAGAAUUAUAUGCCAUAGUGUCUGUGUGCCUCAUUUGAACUGAGGUGCUGUUGAAGGUAGCAUCUUACUGAACCCAGUAACCCCAGCAGGUUUGUAUGUCACAAAUUAUUUAGGAAAUGUUGGAUUGAAUGGACCUAGAAACUACACUUAGUUUCAGAGCAGAGAAGGACAACAGUUCAAAAAAACAAACCAAUUAAGAGGCUGGUGAGCAAAGAGAUGGUAACUUGGGUGAAGGUGGUGGCAGAGAAGCUAAGAGUGGUGGGAUUCAAGAUCCAAGUUUGUAGUGCAAGCAUUACAGCAUAGAGUGGUUAUGAGAAUUGGGUGGGAUUUGAACAUGGUUUUUAAAUUAAGCAAUGUAUAAUGCAAUGUAAAAGUGAAAUAACUACUCACAACAAAGUAGAGACUAAUAGAGACUUGGAAAGAAUGGGAACAACCUAAGGUGGGGGCAGGUUGUAGGACUGGGGAUGUCAGAUGAAAAAGUUAAAAGUGGUUUAGUAUGAAGUAAAGGUCUAUUAAGGAAAAAAGUGUGGUCCAAAGAAUAGCAUCUCUAGCCUUGGUGAAGACCUAAUGGUCCAGUUGGGCCAGAUCAAUCACCUGGCCAAGGGCCUACCUCUAGAAAGGCAUGGCCACCUUAAGAUAGGUGGAACCAAGCUUUUGUACCUUCCCAGAAACCCUGCCCCCAGUGCUGUAGAGUUCUUGCCCACUUUGCUUCUCUUUCCCUUCCCUAAUCAUGCUUUCCUUAAUAGUUGGGAUUUCCCCAACAUUUGGAGCUUCCUUAUUUUGUCUAAAGCCUCCCUCCCCAGCAUGUGGCUUGUUUGUUCACUGUGUGUCUGACUUCCAUUUAUGUCAGUUUAAAUGGCCAGCUUUCCCUCUUCUCUAUUCUUUAGGCAGCUGCUGAGCUUGACAGCUUGCCUGCCCUGGGUUUUACUUUUAACUUCUAAUAAAAUUUUCCUUGAGCUUCA